UACGAGCGGCCCAAACGUUAUUCGGAUUUACUGGGCUUAAAGAGUUCGUAGGCGGUUCGGUAAGUGAGGUGUGAAAGCCCUCGGCUCAACCGAGGAAUUGCGCUUCAAACUGCCGGGCUCGAGGGAGAUAGAGGUGAGCGGAACUGAUGGUGGAGCGGUGAAAUGCGUUGAUAUCAUCAGGAACACCAGAGGCGAAGGCGGCUCACUGGGUCUCUUCUGACGCUGAGGAACGAAAGCUAGGGGAGCAAACGGG
rnacentral:rRNA from 1 species